CUAUGUGGUGAUAGUGGCGACGGGUGAGUAACACGUGAGUAACCUGCCCUUGACUCUGGGAUAAGCCUGGGAAACCGGGUCUAAUACUGGAUACGACCUUCCCGCGCAUGCGGUGUUGGUGGAAAGCUUUUGCGGUUUUGGAUGGACUCGCGGCCUAUCAGCUUGUUGGUGGGGUAAUGGCCUACCAAGGCGACGACGGGUAGCCGGCCUGAGAGGGUGACCGGCCACACUGGGACUGAGACACGGCCCAGACUCCUACGGGAGGCAGCAGUGGGGAAUAUUGCACAAUGGGCGCAAGCCUGAUGCAGCGACGCCGCGUGAGGGAUGAAGGCCUUCGGGUUGUAAACCUCUUUCAGUAGGGAAGAAGCUGGCCCUUGGGUUGGUGACGGUACCUGCAGAAAAAGCGCCGGCUAACUACGUGCCAGCAGCCGCGGUAAUACGUAGGGCGCAAGCGUUAUCCGGAAUUAUUGGGCGUAAAGAGCUCGUAGGCGGUUUGUCGCGUCUGCCGUGAAAGUCCGGGGCUUAACUCCGGAUCUGCGGUGGGUACGGGCAGACUAGAGUGCAGUAGGGGAGACUGGAAUUCCUGGUGUAGCGGUGAAAUGCGCAGAUAUCACGAGGAACACCGAUGGCGAAAGCAGGUCUCUGGGCUGUAACUGACGCUGAGGAGCGAAAGCAUGGGGAGCGAACAGGAUUAGAUACCCUGGUAGUCCAUGCCGUAUACGUUGGGCACUAUGUGUGGGGGGACAUUCUACGUUUUUCUGCGCCGUAGCUAACGCAUUAAGUGCCCCGCCUGGGGAGUACGGCGCAAGGCUAAAACUCAAAGGAGUUGACGGGGGG
rnacentral:rRNA from 1 species